CGUGGAGAUGUGGUGCAGGCUGAGCCCUGCCCGGGCUGCUCACUCCUUCUGCCCAGGAGGACCAGGGUUCUAGAACCCUCCCAGGGUGCUGUGUGCCUGAAGGUUGGGGCGACGAGCCCGCGGUCCUGCUGCUCUGCUGUGUGUGGCUCUGCCCCCUUUAAAUGUGAAAGCUCAGGGAGCAAGGCGCCUGCUGGGACCCGAGGGGGCAGCAAGGAAGUACCUUUGGGGGCCAUUCUCUGUGCCCAGACGGCAGGCUCACUGGGCUGGGCUAAUGAGCCUGGAGGUCCUCAAGGUCAAAUGAAACAAAUGGCCAUGUGCCUGGAGGUGAGUCAUGCCUCUUGUUCUACCCCAGCAGGCUUCUGUGCCAGGGAGACCAGGAGUCCCCAAGGGGGGGGUAUUUGAAGGGCAUUUGGGUAGCUUGUUGGUCACAUAUUUGUCCUGUAUCUUUGGGCUUGUCCUGGUAUCCACAGUCUCACCCUGAACUGAAGCUGGAUCAGCCUCUAGACCUUGGCUGCCUCCCACUUCUUGCCUGGGGAUUCUGCUUCCGAAGUUCCUUGGUAUCUAUGACCUUGUCCCUUGGAGGACUGCAUGGUUUUCUCAGCUUUUUUCCUUGGAUGCUGCUCAGUUUAGGAAGGCUGUUUGGUGUAGUGGUUAAAUCUACUGAAGCCCUGGGUUUGAAUCCCGGCCAUGCCACUUACUGGCUGGACAACUCAGUUAAUCCCUCUGUGCCUGUUUCUUGUAAAAUGGACACAGUAACAAUACUGACCUUAGAGGGUUAUUGCCAAGAUGACAAAAUGCAUGUAAGAUGUUCAGGUGGUACUUGGCAUAAAGUAAGCUGUUAUUUUUUUGGUUUCAUUCAGCUUCCUGAUAUCGGGUUGGUCACUAUACCCCUGGGGAGACCUGUCUCCCUUAAAAGUAACUUGGAGGUUUGGCAUUCUGGAAAAUGGGACCCGUCGUUGUUGGUGGGAGUAUUGCAGGCUGGCCCUGCUGAGCAGACCUGAGACACAGUGUCCUUCCAAAUUUGGUGGCCUUUCCUUGGUGGGGAGGAGAAAAGCAGCUGGCCUCCAGACUCGGCACCUUGCUGUGCCACCACCGCUGUGUGCCCUCAGGUGUGUCUGGCCUCUCUUGCCUGGAUUUCCUAAUCUUUAGGUGGGUACAGUGUUGCAGCCAAUGAUAAGGAGACAGACGUCUCAUCUGUUCCCCACAGUGGCAAUGGCGGUGGUGGCGGCUGGCACUGGGCUAAGUGACCACCUCCUGAACAUCACUCCCUUUCCUCCUCUCAACAGUGUUAUGAAGUGUGGACAUCAGCUGGCAACUGAGGAUGCAGAGAGCUUAACCACCUGAUGCAAGGGCGCGUGUCUCAUCGGUGGCAGAGCUGGCACUGGACACGUGGGCCUCUGCUCUGAAGCACAAGGCCUGGCAAGUUGCCAUUGACAGUCCUCCUUGUUGUCAUACCACGAGAGGCUGGUCUGCCACCCCGAAAUCCUCAGAAUUACCCAGGCACUCAAAAUAUCUCCAUGCCUGGGCCCACCCCAGACCCACUAAAGCAGCCUUUCUGGGACGUGGGCACCAGUAUGUUGCAGGCUUUCCAGGUGAUUGCUGUGCCUUGCCACGUUUGAGAAGCCUUGCUCUUCUAGUCCACCCCUCACAGAUCACUUUCCUCCCCGUGUGGUCUUCACUGCCCUGUCCAGUCCCCUCCCUCCUGGUAGAUCAGGGGAGCCUUCCUCUCCAGGGGCUCUCACCUCUGUCCCAUACCCCUGACUGCUUCCCCAGGCUAGGACACCCUGCCCACCAGGGGUCCCACACCUUCGUCCCCGGGUUGCACCCCUCUUCCUUGCCUUGAUACCCGUUCCUCUCUCUGGGUCAGAUCCCUUCCACCCCCAUUACACCUCCCACCACCACAGUGUUUCCAGGUGCUGUUAUGGGCUCCUACUGGGAAGAAUAAAGGCCAGAUGCCCAUUAUGCAGAA